GAAGGAAUUUGAUAAGAAACAUGGUCCUACUUGGAAUUGUAUUGCUGGUCGCGAUUUCGAGUAUAAAAAUCUCGCACCAGCAGCAGCAGAUAAUGUGUGAAAUAUGACCAAGGGUGGCCUUUUGGUGUGCAAUCUUGGUGCAGCGAAGGUACAAACGGGGCUUGUUCAGUUCUUGAAGCUGAUCAUGUGGAUACCAAAAUAUGGAUCGCCACGUGGACAUAGGGAAGACACGAAAAUCCGUUCAAAAGACCAUGUACCGUGCCCCGAAAAUCCUCAUCUGUGACUUGUCAAAUCAGGUCAGAGUAGCCAUUAUUGGCUAUUUGAUGAAGUAUCAUCUUUGUGCGAGAUAGAACCUUAUCACGAUGUAAUCUCCUAGGGGAAUGUGUGUUACAAAGGACCAAAUGUAGGUACACGAAACAGGUUUGCCACGUCUCCGACGUAAAGAGGUAGAAAAUCUCACGCCAAGAUCUCAGUCAGAGACUUGUCAAAUCAGAUGUCAGCGUUAUCUCUCCGAGGACCAAUCACACGAAGAAAAGAGAAGGUAAGAGCAAAGGCAGGGAUACUCACACGAAGAUUCGAAGGACCAGAUUGGAGUACCCAGAAAGUCACCAAGGACGAAGUCAGGAAAAGCGAAGUAGGAUAACUUGGUUGAAAAGACAGGUCACAAAGUAGAUAAAUUAUGGAGCAAGAAAAGAGACAGAUGUCCCGACAAGUCCAUGCGAGGGUAGCGAAAGAAAGGGAAAAACUUUAUAGAAAAUGAUCCGGGUGAAGUAAAGGGCACCUCCGCGAGAAUAUGGCGAAGUAAAAUGAGUUGUACUCCAUUAGGGUUAGUUGGCCUAUAAGUAAAGGUCCUUGGAAAAGAUGUAAGGGAGAGAUUUUGAGUUGAGC